AAAACACAAAAGCACUACCAAAAAAUAGUAGACUAUGCCUCAGGUUCAAUGAAAUUUCAUUGUUGAGUUUCAGUUAAUAUAUGUAAGUCUUAUUGCACACUUAAUUGACUAAGGAGUAGUGUUGCUCUGUAAUGUGCCGCCUACGCAAUAGCCCAUGACAACAACCAUUGUCCACGCGCGCCAACCGCCAUGCACCAGCUCACCGUCCCAGUCUACAUUUGGGGUACUCCUGAACCAGCAGAUCAGCGCCCCUGUGCAUCCAUGUCUCAGCUUUCUCCCUCCAUACUUCAAUUCCCCACACACGUCUAUGUCCUUUCUCCAAG
rnacentral:lncRNA from 1 species